rfam:Triticum aestivum genome assembly, contig: Triticum_aestivum_CS42_TGACv1_scaffold_534061_6DL
CUUGUACUCCCUCCGUCCGAAAAUACUUGUCAUUGAAAUGGAUGUAUCUAGAUGUAUUUUAGUUCUAGACACAUCCAUUUUGAUGACAAGUAAUUCCGGACAGAGGGAGUACUUG